CCAUGUGGGAUGUCCCAAUUGAUCAGAUAAAUGAUUUUCAUGUGAGCCGACCCGAAUCUUGUUCCAUUAAAAGGGCCUCUGGGGCAUCUAAAAUCCCAAAACCCUUCAUCUCCCUCUCAUCCCAAGCCUAGGAAUCUCCUUCUAGAUCUCUCCAAACCUCAAAAUCUCACAAAACCAUGGAUCACUCUCCUCAAAUUUUUUGAUCUCAUGGCUCACUCUCUUGAUUUCCCCAAAUUUCAAGCCCUAACCCACAGAAUCUGUGAGAAACUCUCCAAAAUUAUCUUCUUCUCUUAGUUUCACUUCAAUCCACAUCCUUCUCCACCUUCUUGACCAUUAUUCAACCUCUUCUUAGGACAUGGCCCCC
rnacentral:lncRNA from 1 species